GGAUAAAUCAGGAGGAUGCAUACCAGCCAUUAGCUUCUCAAAUCCGCUUCCUGUUGAUAACAUUUUAAGGCCUCAGACUGCUUCUGUUGGAUUGCUCAGAAGCAAGUAUCUUUCAGAGCCUUAUUCUUUUGCAGGCAACUCAGGACAAUCACUGGGGACCAGGACCAUGCAGCAAGCAAAUGGAAGUGUUCCCGUUUUAUAGGAGUCUUCGUGGUGGGAGUUUUGGUUAACUAAUGGUGUAUUUAGUACAAUACACGA
rnacentral:misc_RNA from 1 species